rnacentral:lncRNA from 1 species
CCAAAAUAGAGCCCCCAUAGGGGGGGGGGGGACAGGUGGGGGGGGGGGCGGAGCCUCAGCCCCACAGCUGCUGCCCCCCCCCGUGGGGAGACGUUGGGGGGGGGGGCGGGGGGGAUAAAAGGGUCCGAACGGCCCCAAAACGGCCCCAAAAUGGCCCUAAAUGGGGGGAAAUGGACCCAAAUGGCCCUAAAUGGGGGGAAAUGGACCCAAAAUGGGGGAAAUGGGGCCCAAAAUGGCCCUAAAUGGGGGGAAAUGGGCCCAAAAUGGCCCUAAAUGGGGGAAAUGUACCCAAAAUGGGGGAAAUGGGGGUGAAUGGACCCAAAAUGGCCCUAAAUGGGGGAAAUGGGCCCAAAAUGGCCCUAAAUGGGGGAAAUGGACCCAAAAUGGCCCCAAAUUGGGGUGAAUGGACCCAAAAUGGGGGAAAUGGACCCCAAAUGGCCCUAAAUGGGGGGAAAUGAACCCAAAUCGGGGUGAAUUGACCCCAAAAUGGCCCUAAAUGGGGGGAAAUGGACCCCAAAAUGGCCCUAAAUGGGGGGAAAUGGACCCCAAAUGGGAGGAAUUGACCCCAAAAUGGGGAGAAAUGGGCCCAAAAUGGCCCUAAAUGGGGGAAAAUGGCCCUAAAUGGGGGGAAAUGGGCCCCAAAUGGCCCUAAAUGGGGGGGAAUUGACCCCAAAAUGGCCCUAAAUGGGGGAAAUGGACCCAAAAUGGGGGGAAUUGACCCCAAAAUGGGGAGAAAUGGGCCCAAAAUGGCCCUAAAUGGGGGAAAUGGGCCCAAAAUGGCCCUAAAUGGGGGGAAAUGGACCCCAAAUGGACCCAAAAUGGUGGGAAUGGACCCAAAUUGGGGGGAAUUGACCCCAAAAUGGGGAGAAAUGGGCCCAAAAUGGCCCUAAAUGGGGGGAAAUGGACCCCAAAUGACCCUAAAUGGGGGGAAAUGGACCCAAAUGGCCCUAAAUGGGGGGAAAUGCACCCAAAUGGGAGGAAUUGACCCCAAAAUGGGGGGAAAUGGGCCCAAAAUGGCCAUAAAUGGGGGAAAUGGACCCCAAAUGGCCCUAAAUGGGGGGAAAUGGACCCCGAAUGACCCUAAAUGGGGAGAAAUGGGCCCCAAAUGGCUCUAAAUGGGGGGAAAUGGGACCAAAAUGGCCCUAAAUGGGGGGAAAUGGUCCCAAAAGGGGGAAAACGGGCACAAAAUGGCCCUAAAUGGGGGAAAAUGGACCCCAAAUGGCCCUAAAUUGGGGGAAAUGGACCCAAAAUGGACCCAAAAUGGGGGGAAAUGGACCCAAAUGGGAGGAAAUGACCCCAAAAUGGGGAGAAAUGGGACCAAAAUGGCCAUAAAUGGGGGAAAACGGACCCAAAAUGGCCCUAAAUGGGGGGAAAUGGACCCAAAUUGGGGGGAAUUGACCCCAAAAUGGCCCUAAAUGGGGGGAAAUAGACCCAAAAUGGCCCCAAAUGGGGAAAGUGACCCCAAAAUGGCCCCAAAUUGGGGGAAAUGGACCCAAAAGGGGGAAAUUGGGGUGAAUGGACCCCAAAAUGGCCCUAAAUGGGGGGAAAUGGACCCAAAAGGGGGAAAUGGGGGUGAAUUGACCCCAAAAUGGCUAUAAAUGGGGGGAAAAGGACCCCAAAUGGCCCAAAAUGGGGGAAAUGGACCCCAAAAUGUCCCUAAAUGGGGGGAAAUGGGCCCCAAAUGGCCCUAAAUGGGGGAAAUGGGCCCAAAAUGGCCCUAAAUGGGGGGAAAUGGGACCAAAAUGACCCUAAAUGGGGGGAAAUGGACCCCAAAAUUGGGGGAAAUGGGACCCAAAUGGCCCUAAAUGGGGGGAUAUGGGGUGAAUUGACCCCAAAAUUGCCCUAAAUGGGGGGAAAUGGGCCCAAAAUGGCCCUAAAUCGGGGGAAAUGAACCCAAAUUGGGGGGAAUUGACCCUAAAUGGCCCCAAAUUGGGGUGAAUGGAGCCCAAAAUGGCCCUAAAUGGGGGGAAAUGGACCCCAAAUGGGAGGAAUUGACCCAAAAUUGGGGGAAAUGGACCCAAAAUGGCCCUAAAUGGGGGGAAAUGGCCCCCAAAAUUGGGGGAAAUGGGACCCAAAUGGCCCUAAAUUGGGGGAUAUGGGGUGAAUUGACCCCAAAAUGGCCCUAAAUGGGGGGAAAUGGACCCAAAAUGGCCCCAAAUUGGGAAAUGACCCCAAAAUGCACCAAAACCGCCCCAAAUUGACCCAGAAUUGGCCCCAAAUCCACCCCCAGAAAACCCCAAAUGCCCCAAAAUCAGCCCUAAAACCCCAAAUUGCCCCCAAAUGCCCCAAAAUCGACCCUAAAAACCCCAAAUUGCCCCCAAAUGGCCCCAAAAUUGGCCCUAAAAACCCCACAUUGCCCCCAAAUGCCCCAAAAUCGGCCCUAAAAACCCCAAAUUGCCCCCAAAUGCCCCAAAAUCGACCCUAAAAAACCCGAAUUGACCCAAAUUGACCCCAAAAUCAGUCCUAAAAACCCCCAAAUUGCCCUCAAAUGCCCCAAAAUCGGCCCUAAAAACCCCAAAUUGCCCCCAAAUGCCCCAAAAUCGGCCCUAAAAACCCCAAAUUGCCCCCAAAUGGCCCCAAAAUCGGCCCUAAAAACCCCAAAUUGCCCCCAAAUGCCCCAAAAUCGGCCCUAAAAACCCCAAAUUGCCCCCAAAUGCCCCAAAAUCGACCCUAAAAAACCCAAAUUGACCCAAAUUGACCCCAAAAUCAGUCCUAAAAACCCCCAAAUUGCCCUCAAAUGCCCCAAAAUCGGCCCUAAAAACCCCAAAUUGCCCCCAAAUGCCCCAAAAUCGGCCCUAAAAACCCCAAAUUGCCCCCAAAUGGCCCCAAAAUUGGCCCUAAAAACCCCACAUUGCCCCCAAAUGCCCCAAAAUCGGCCCUAAAAACCCCAAAUUGCCCCCAAAUGCCCCAAAAUCGACCCUAAAAAACCCAAAUUGACCCAAAUUGACCCCAAAAUCAGUCCUAAAAACCCCCAAAUUGCCCUCAAAUGCCCCAAAAUCGGCCCUAAAAACCCCAAAUUGCCCCCAAAUGCCCCAAAAUCGGCCCUAAAAUCCCCAAAUUGCCCCCAAAUGCCCCAAAAUCGGCCCUAAAAACCCCAAAUUGCCCCCAAAUGCCCCAAAAUCAGCCCUAAAAACACCAAAUUGACCCAAAAUGACCCCAAAACAGCCCUAAAAACCCCAAAUUGCCCUCAAAUGCCCCAAAAUCAGCCCUAAAAACCCAAAAUUGACCCAAAAUGCCCCAAAAUCAGCCCUAAAAACCCCAAAUUGCCCUCAAAUGCCCCAAAAUCAGCCCUAAAAACCCAAAAUUGACCCAAAAUGCCCCAAAAUCAGCCCUAAAAACCCCAAAUUGCCCUAAAUUGACCCCAAAUUGACCCAAACUGACCCAAAUUGCCUCAAAAUCGGCCCUAAAAACCCCAAAUUGCCCCCAAAUGACCCCAAAAUCAGCCCUAGAAACACCAAAUUGCCCCAAAUUGACCC